rnacentral:lncRNA from 1 species
UGUCAGUUUGCCACUUGUGGUUGAAAAUUGGAGUCAGGCUGGUUGGCUAGAGGCAAAAAGACUAGAGUUACAUAAUAUUUAUGAGUUCUGAAGUUAGCAAUCACCAAACCCAAAUACUGCCAGCUUUCAGAUUGGUCAGUGAGGUCAGCAUCAUCUAGUCAUGGCAAUGUAGUUCAGAGCUGAGUAGAUUUGGUACUGAUGAAGCAUUACUUCUAAGUAUAAAUUCUGUCUAUGUCAGCCCACUGCUACCUCCUUUACAGGAUUUAUAGCCUUCUAAUUUUA